GUCUGACCAAAAAUUUACCAGGGUGUAGUUUCCCAAUCCUAGUAAUCCUGAGGGUACUGCGGGAGACCAGGGCAUAUCUCAGUCAUUAUCUCAACCACAUAGGACAGACAUUCCCAGAGUGGCCAUUCAUAGACCUCCCCCCAGGAAUGAAUUCCUUUCCCAGAGUAUUAAUAUCAGUAUUCCUUGCUAGGAAAAGAAUUUAGUGAUAUCUUCCCUACUUGCACACCCAUUUAUAGGCUCUCUGCAAGAAGAAAAAUAUGGCUCUUUUUGCCCAACCCCACAGGCAGUCAGACCUUAUGGUUGUCUUCCCUUGUUCCCUAAAAAUCGCUGUUAUUCUGUUUUCAAGGUGCACUGAUUGCAUAUUGUUCAAACAUACAUGUUUUACAAUCAAUUUGUACAGUUAACACAAUUAUCAUACUGGUCCUGAGGUGAUGUACUGUUAACACAAUUAUCAUACUGGUCCUGGGGUGAUGUACAGCCUCAGCUAAUGAAGAUAACAGGAUUAAGAGAUUAAAAUAAAGCUAGGCAUAAGAAAUUAUGGAGGUAUUAUUUGGGAAGUGAUAAAUGUCCAUAUUAAAAUGAAAUCUUCACAGUUUAUGUUCCUGUGCUGCAACUCCAGCCGGUCCCUCCAUUUGGGGUCCCUGACUUCCCCCAACGCUAUGUUAGUGAGUUUUUUCAGGGUAGGUUACUUUUUUUUUUGUUUUGAGAUAAAGUCUCGCUCUGUCACCCAGGCUAAAGUUUACUGGCACAAUCUCAAAUCACUGCAACCUCUGCCUUCCGAGUUCAACCCAUUCUUCUGCCUCAGCCUCCAAAGUAGCUGAGAAUACAGAUGCAUGCAAGCCCAGCUAAUUUGUGCAUUAUUAUUGUAGCAGGACAAGCUGCAGACAAAACCCUUCAGACACCAAGUUAGAGAAGAAAGGGCUUUAUUCGGCCAGGAGCUUUGGCAAGACUCACGUCUCCAACAACUGAGCUCCCCAAGUGAGGAAUUCCUGUCCCUUUUAAGGGCUUGCAACUCUAAUGGGGUCCAUGUGAGAGGGCUGUGAUCAAUUGAGCAAGCAGGGGUAUGUGACUGGAGGCUGCAUGCACUGGUGAUUAGAAUGGAACAGAAUAGGACAGGGAUCUUCACAGUGCUUUUCUUGUACAAAUAACUGAUUAGGUCAGGGUUGUCUGCUUAUGGAUUUCAUUUCUGCUUUUUAGUUUUUACUGCUUUCUUUGGAGGCAGAAAUUGGGCAUAAGACAAUAUGAGGGGUGGUCUCCUCCCUAUUCCCCCCCUUUGAGAAUCUCAGUAGUGGGAGUUCUCACUUUCAUUCUGGCUACCCGUGUCUUCUUACAAGGCAGAUCGAUAGUGAUUCAAAUAGUACACUUGUGCUGAAACAUUUUGGUGAACUAAGGUAGCAGUGAAGCUUUUUAUCAUUUGAAAAAGUACAGGUAGCAAACAAGGGAGCAGUAAGCAGGUUCCUAUUACUAUUAUAACUCUUAUUAUAACAGUUUUAAAUGCUCCUAGCACUGGAAACCAUUUUCUAAACUUGGCACCAGGAUCAAAUCCAUGCCACAUUUGCACAGGCACAUGUGCCAGUUUUGUCAUAUCUCUAACUAUGUCUUCAAUUACUUGCCCUUGGUCAUCUAUGUGUAGACCUCAAUUAGUAAGGUUAAAUUUCCCACAGACCCCUCCUUCAGCUGCUAGUAAGUAGUCGAGAGCCAAUCUAUCUUGAUAGGUAGGAUUUCUCAUCUGAGUUUCUUGCCAGGCCAGAAUAGUCAAGGCUCUGCCAGUUUUAUUAGUGGUUAUUUCUAAGACAGCUUGUAACCAUAUCAUUUGGUUGAGCAUGUAAAUGGGGUUGUAGUAUCCCCACGAGCCGUAUUGUGCCCAAGUAGCAGGCCCAUAAUAUUGUGUGAUUCUCUCAGGGAGCCAUUCAUCAUCUUGCCAAUUCCCUAUGGCUAUGCUUCUCUUUUCAUGAGAAGCAUAGACAGGGAAGCCAGGAGUUCACCUGUCUUUAUGGGCAAUAGGAAGAAAGAUUGUUUAAUAGUGCCAAUAACACAACUACCUGCCCACUGGUUGGGUAAUUUGGCAUAAGCUCUAUGCCCACAUAUCCAGUAUAAUCCAGUGGGGGCUGUCCAGUCCUGGUGGGACUCUGGGUGGGUCUACACGGUUUGCAACUUUGGGAAUUUACUAAAUGGAUUCCUUUCUGUGUGAUUUGAACUGUACCAAGUGACUGUUUUUGUGGUACCAUUAUACAAUUUAUGUCCCAGACAAAUAAGUUGUCCUAUGGGAUGAGUGAAUUAUUUUCCUUCUCUAGCUAUGCAAUAUUGUCCAAUAAUUGAGGCUUUUAGGGCCCAGAAAUUAUCAGGGUGAUUCUUUUGAGCCAGGAAUUCAACAGGAACUGGGUCUAUAGGUACUAAUCCUUGGGCUUCCCAUGGCCAAUGAUCUCCCAUUACAGUUCCUCCACACACAUAACAUGAAGUGUUAUUGAGAGACUGGGCUAUGUGCUCAGAUAAUUGCAAAAACAAAUUUCUUGUUUUUCUGGGAAUUUUUGGUACUGGUACAUUUAGUUCAUCAUAGGAAGUUUGAAACACUGUCUCAGGAGAGCGUUUGUAAACUUCUCCUCAAACUAAGAUAUUUACUUGAGGAUCCCAUCCAGACCCGUCAAUUCCUAAGGUCACACACUCCUCUUUUUUCCAGUGAGGAUCAAGGGGAUUUGUUAUUACUAGCUCUGUGGGGUUACAUUUUCCCUUAAUACAGGAAAGGCUAUUUUUUCCUUCCUGAAAGUGGACUGGAUCCUUUUCAUUUUUUAUCCAAGUUGCCCAAGUGACACAAGACCAAUAUCCACAUUCAUUGCCACACAAUCCUAAUUCAUGACAAAUGUACUUUUUUUCAGUCAUAUAGCCUUUUUCCCAACUAAAAGAGCGACCUUGCCUUCCUAACUUAUUGCUAUUAAUGACAGCACUGGCAUCAAAUCUCAAGAUUAUGCGUUUGGGCACCCCUUUUUAUUCUGUUGUGGUCAAUACUUUACUUGUAUCAUUUAUGAGUCCCCACCAGACUUCAGUCCUUAAUCUUUGUUAAAAAACUGUGGACAUGGGAGGCUCAGAACGGUCAUAACACACAUCUGGCCAGUCUUUUCCUGGGCUACAUACCUUGUACUGAGUGCCAUUAUAUAAGCAUGUUCCUUUUAAAGUCCCUAGACAUUCAUAGUAACUAUAGAACAGAAAGAUUGUUUUAACUUGUUGCCCUACCUCGGUAACCUGAUGUAUACACUGAGAGCAGUCCUCCAUGUGGGGAAAAUCAGUGGAAGUUUUUACUAUACAAGCCCAAAUUAUAAGGAAGAUGAGUCCCACGAUGAUCCUCCUCAUGCUUUGGCCGUGCAUAGACCAGUCAGCUUCUGGGUGUGACUGGAGCAGGGCUUGUCGUCCUCCUCAGAGUCACUUUGUAGGGGGUGUCCGGGCUCGGUUUUGCCUCCCAGGUUUCAGCGGCUGCAGGUUUCACACAGCUGUGGUGGAUCCAGGCUGGGAUUCCUUCUACCUUUACAGCUGUGGGGGUGGUCAGGAUGACGGUCUGAGGUCCUUUCCACCGUGGCCUCAAAGGGGCUAUGUUGCAGUCUUUGAUCCAAAUGCAAUCACCUGGAGAGAAAAGGUGAACUGGGGAGAAUAAGCUGAUGGGACAUCUCUCAUUUACCCAAGUUGAGAUUGUUUGUGUAAUUUUUCC
rnacentral:lncRNA from 10 species